UUUGUUUUUUUUUGAGUUUUUUUUUAUUUUUUGUUAUAAGGGUGGUGUUAUUUGUAUAUUUGAGGUUAUUGAUAUUUUUUUCGGUAAUUUUGAUUUUAGUUUGUGUUUUAUUUAGUUUAGUAUUUUUUAUGAUGUAUUUUGUAUAUAAGUUAAAUAAGUAGGGUGAUAAUAUAUAGUUUUGACGUAUUUUUUUUUUUAUUUGGAAUUAGUUUGUUGUUUUAUGUUUAGUUUUAAUUGUUGUUUUUUGAUUUGUAUAUAAAUUUUUUAAGAGGUAGAUUAGGUGGUUUGGUAUUUUUAUUUUUUUUAGAAUUUUUUAUAGUUUAUUGUGAUUUAUAUAGUUAAAGGUUUUGGUAUAGUUAAUAAAGUAGAAAUAGAUGUUUUUUUGGAAUUUUUUUGUUUUUUUUAUGAUUUAGCGGAUGUUGGUAAUUUGAUUUUUGGUUUUUUUGUUUUUUUUAAAAUUAGUUUGAAUAUUAGGAAGUUUACGGUUUAUAUAUUGUUGAAGUUUGGUUUGGAGAAUUUUGAGUAUUAUUUUAUUAGUAUGUGAGAUGAGUGUAAUUGUGUGGUAGUUUGAGUAUUUUUUGGUAUUGUUUUUUUUUGGGAUUGGAAUGAAAAUUGAUUUUUUUUAGUUUUGUGGUUAUUGUUGAGUUUUUUAAAUUUGUUGGUAUAUUGAGUGUAGUAUUUUUAUAGUAUUAUUUUUUAGGAUUUGGAAUAGUUUUAUUGGAAUUUUAUUAUUGUUGGGAGUUAGUGAGGAAUUUUUUUUAUGAUAAAGGUUAUGAGGAAGGAGGUUUGGUAUAUGUAAAUGUGGGAUUGAGUUUUAGGAGUUUAUUUGGAUAUUUUUGAG
rnacentral:misc_RNA from 1 species